GCGAAGGGGGGACGGAGAAGGCUAUGUUGGCCGGGCGACGGUUGUCCCGGUUUAAGCGUGUAGGUGUGUGUUCCAGGUAAAUCCGGUUCACUUUAACACUGAGGCGUGACGACGAGGCACUACGGUGCUGAAGCAACAAAUGCCCUGCUUCCAGGAAAAGCCUCUAAGCAUCAGGUAACAUCAAAUCGUACCCCAAACCGACACAGGUGGUCAGGUAGAGAAUACCAAGGCGCUUGAGAGAACUCGGGUGAAGGAACUAGGCAAAAUGGUGCCGUAACUUCGGGAGAAGGCACGCUGACACGUAGGUGAAGUGAUUUACUCACGGAGCUGAAGUCAGUCGAAGAUACCAGCUGGCUGCAACUGUUUAUUAAAAACACAGCACUGUGCAAACACGAAAGUGGACGUAUACGGUGUGACGCCUGCCCGGUGCCGGAAGGUUAAUUGAUGGGGUCAGCGCAAGCGAAGCUCCUGAUCGAAGCCCCGGUAAACGGCGGCCGUAACUAUAACGGUCCUAAGGUAGCGAAAUUCCUUGUCGGGUAAGUUCCGACCUGCACGAAUGGCGUAAUGAUGGCCAGGCUGUCUCCACCCGAGACUCAGUGAAAUUGAACUCGCUGUGAAGAUGCAGUGUACCCGCGGCAAGACGGAAAGACCCCGUGAACCUUUACUAUAGCUUGACACUGAACAUUGAGCCUUGAUGUGUAGGAUAGGUGGGAGGCUUUGAAGUGUGGACGCCAGUCUGCAUGGAGCCGACCUUGAAAUACCACCCUUUAAUGUUUGAUGUUCUAACGUGGACCCGUAAUCCGGGUUGCGGACAGUGUCUGGUGGGUAGUUUGACUGGGGCGGUCUCCUCCUAAAGAGUAACGGAGGAGCACGAAGGUUGGCUAAUCCUGGUCGGACAUCAGGAGGUUAGUGCAAUGGCAUAAGCCAGCUUGACUGCGAGCGUGACGGCGCGAGCAGGUGCGAAAGCAGGUCAUAGUGAUCCGGUGGUUCUGAAUGGAAGGGCCAUCGCUCAACGGAUAAAAGGUACUCCGGGGAUAACAGGCUGAUACCGCCCAAGAGUUCAUAUCGACGGCGGUGUUUGGCACCUCGAUGUCGGCUCAUCACAUCCUGGGGCUGAAGUAGGUCCCAAGGGUAUGGCUGUUCGCCAUUUAAAGUGGUACGCGAGCUGGGUUUAGAACGUCGUGAGACAGUUCGGUCCCUAUCUGCCGUGGGCGCUGGAGAACUGAGGGGGGCUGCUCCUAGUACGAGAGGACCGGAGUGGACGCAUCACUGGUGUUCGGGUUGUCAUGCCAAUGGCACUGCCCGGUAGCUAAAUGCGGAAGAGAUAAGUGCUGAAAGCAUCUAAGCACGAAACUUGCCCCGA
rnacentral:rRNA from 1 species